rnacentral:rRNA from 1 species
UACGGAGGGGGCUAGCGUUGUUCGGAAUUACUGGGCGUAAAGCGCACGUAGGCGGCUUCGCAAGUCAGAGGUGAAAGCCUGGGGCUCAACCCCGGAACUGCCUUUGAGACUGCGUCGCUCGAAUCCGGGAGAGGCGGGUGGAAUUCCGGGUGUAGAGGUGAAAUUCGUAGAUAUUCGGAAGAACACCAGUGGCGAAGGCGGCCCGCUGGACCGGCAUUGACGCUGAGGUGCGAAAGCGUGGGGAGCAAACAGG